rnacentral:misc_RNA from 1 species
GUGCGAUAAGUAAUGUGAAUUGCAGAAUUCCGUGAAUCAUCGAAUCUUUGAACGCAAAUUGCACUCUCUGGUAUUCCGGAGAGUAUGCCUGUUUGAGGGUCAGUUAAAUAAAAAUCGGUGUGGUUGCUGCUUUUCGUGGUGACGCACCGGAUUUGGGUCGUCUUGCCUUCGGUUAAGUGACCUAAAAUUUUGCAUGAUUUUUUCGAACGUAUUUAAAUGAUUUUACGUACGUUUGCGAUAUCGAAUACUAGGUGUGGUCAUCCUCAUGAUUCGCGCCUAUAAUUUUUCAUCAAAAUGACCUCAAAUCAGGUAAGAGUACCCGCUGAACUUAA